rnacentral:rRNA from 1 species
UUUAACGCUGGCGGCAGGCCUAACACAUGCUAGUCGAGCGGAUGAAGGGAGCUUGCUCCUGGAUUCAGCGGCGGACGGGUGAGUAAUGCCUAGGAAUCUGCCUGGUAGUGGGGGAUAACGUCCGGAAACGGGCGCUAAUACCGCAUACGUCCUGAGGGAGAAGUGGGGGAUCUUCGGACCUCACGCUAUCAGAUGAGCCUAGGUCGGAUUAGCUAGUUGGUGGGGUAAAGGCCUACCAAGGCGACGAUCCGUAACUGGUCUGAGAGGAUGAGCAGUCACACUGGACCUGCGACACGGUCCAGACUCCUACGGGACGCCGCAGUGGGGAAUAUUGGCCAAUGGGCGCAAGCCUGACCCAGCCCUGCCGCGUGUGUGAGGAAGGUCUUCGGAUUGUAAAGCACUUUCAGUUGGGAGGAAGGGCAGUAAGUUUAUACCUUGCUGUUUUGACAUUGCCAACAGAAUAAGCACCGGCUAACUUCGUG